rnacentral:rRNA from 1 species
UGCCAGCCGCCGCGGUAAUACGGAGGGUCCAAGCGUUAAUCGGAAUUACUGGGCGUAAAGCGCGCGUAGGCGGUUUGUUAAGUCAGAUGUGAAAGCCCUGGGCUCAACCUGGGAACUGCACCUGAUACUGGCAAACUAGAGUACAGAAGAGGGUGGUGGAAUUUCCUGUGUAGCGGUGAAAUGCGUAGAUAUAGGAAGGAACACCAGUGGCGAAGGCGACCACCUGGUCUGAUACUGACGCUGAGGUGCGAAAGCGUGGGGAGCAAACAGGAUUAGAUA